rnacentral:rRNA from 1 species
UAACGCGUGGGAAUCUGCCCUCAGGUUCGGAAUAACAGCGAGAAAUUGCUGCUAAUACCGGAUGAUGGCUUCGGCCCAAAGAUUUAUCGCCUAGGGAUGAGCCCGCGUCGGAUUAGCUAGUUGGUGAGGUAAAGGCUCACCAAGGCGACGAUCCGUAGCUGGUCUGAGAGGAUGAUCAGCCACACUGGGACUGAGACACGGCCCAGACUCCUACGGGAGGCAGCAGUGGGGAAUCUUGGACAAUGGGCGCAAGCCUGAUCCAGCCAUGCCGCGUGAGUGAUGAAGGCCUUAGGGUUGU